CAUCAGAUAUGGGUAUGAAUCCGACAUAAGUAUGUUCCACUUUUUUUUCUCAUGUAUUUCGAAGAUCAUUGGAAGGGAUCAUUGGAAGGACAUACUCAAAUAUGUGUCAGACAGAGGGCAUCUGGCACGGGUACUUAAAGAAAAAUGAAAGAGUACAAAAAAUAGGAACACAGGAGAAGAAAAGCCCAAAUUACCUGGUUGUACUUGGCCAACCUCUCACUUCUACAAGGAGCUCCAGUCUUGAUCUAUACAACAGAACAACCACCCUCACCAUCUAGCACUGGAAAAAUUUGAAAAAAAAACACGCAUUGCUGAUAAAUUGCUAUUACGGGUUAAUGAUUUCGAAUGA